UACAGAGGUGGCAAGCGUUGCUCGGUAUCACUGGGCUUAAAGGGCGCGUAGGCGGUGCGGUACGGUUUCGGUGAAAUCCCUCGGCCCAACCGAGGAACAGCCGGGGCUACGGCCGCACUAGACGGCAUCAGGGGACAGUGGAACUUCCGGUGGAGCGGUGAAAUGCGUAGAUAUCGGAAGGAACGCCGGUGGCGAAAGCGACUGUCUGGGGUGCCUGUGACGCUGAGGCGCGAAAAGCCCAGGGGGAUCAAAACGGGG
rnacentral:rRNA from 1 species